CUGCGUAAUACGGUCCAGGGACUGGGGUAUGACGUAGAGUGAAAGGGUUAAGUGGAAUUACUGGUCGGAAAGGGUUCGUAGGGGUUGUUUUAUGUCGGCGGGUAAAUGCCCGGGCUCAACCUGUGAAGGGCAGGGGAUACUGGGGAGCUAGAGUUGGAUAGAGGAUGGUGGAAUGCCCGGUGUAGCGGUGAAAUGCGUAGAGAUCGGGAGGAACAGCAGUGGCGAAGGCGGCCAUCUGGAUCAACACUGACGCUGAGGCACGAAAGCGUGGGGAGCAAACAGGAUUAGAUACCCUGGUAUC
rnacentral:rRNA from 1 species